CUCCACAAAGCCGCUCGGGCUCUUGACCUCUCUCUACUCUCCAGCCCAGACGAAAACUUAGAGUCCCAGACGAAAACUUUCCACAUUAGCUUGCUCUCUCACUCUCUUACUCUCUACUUCAUUCGAUUGAUUUCUUUGAUGAUGGAAGGGAAUUCAAACACUGUGACGCCUACUCCCACAAGCGUAGAGGCUGCAUCAAGCAUUGGGACUUCAGAUGAUGGAAUGAACAGGAGAAAUCCACUUGUUGCUUAUGUUCUUAACCUUUUUUUUUUUUAAUUUCUUUUCAACUCUGGAACUCUUGUCUUCUUGUUUGGAACUCCUGAAUUUUAAUUGGUUUGUAAACUUAAGUGAUUCGGAACUGUUUUGGAUUUGUAUUGCUUGGUUGCUUCACUUGCUUGCUUCUGGUUC